AUUGAACGCUGGCGGCAGGCCUAACACAUGCAAGUCGAGCGAGCGGCGGACGGGUGAGUAAUGUCUGGGAAACUGCCUGAUGGGGGGGGAUAACUACUGGAAACGGUAUCGCAUACCGCAUACCCUCAGAUGUGCCCAGAGGGGAUUAGCUCGUAGGUGGGGUAACGGCUCACCUAGGCGACGAUCCCUAGCUGGUCUGAGAGGAGGACCAGCCACACUGGAACUGAGACACGGUCCAGACUCCUACGGGAGGCAGCAGUGGGGAAUAUUGCACAAUGGGCGCAAGCCUGAUACAGCCAUGCCGCGUGUGUGAAGAAGGCCUUCGGGUUGUAAAGCACUUUCAGCGGGGAGGCGUUACCCGCAGAAGAAGCACCGGCUAACUCCGUGCCAGCAGCCGCGGUAAUAC
rnacentral:rRNA from 1 species